CUGCUGCUUCCUGGAAAAUGGCACCCAGGACUGUGAGGAGGAAGUGCAAAUCUGUGAGGAGGACGCCGAUAGAGCCGGGACUGCGGUUCCCAUCAUGCCAUGUGGCCCCUGAAGAGUCUCACCAGAGCCAGGACUGUCCCCUAAGCACCGUCCCAGCUGCUAGCCAAGUGCUUCCCUGAACCAUGAGUGAGCCCCGGGGCCCUGCACCCCCAGCUGGCCUCCAAGCGCCCCUCGAGUGUCUCCUGGGAACUGGCGUGAUGACAACAAUGUAGAGAAAGACUCUGACUCUAUCGCAGUAUCAGCAACACUUCAGCCUUUAAUUAAAAUUUGAACCAAAACUGCAAUUGCCGAUGUGGAGGGUGGACAGGCCUCUGCCCUUUUUCGUGCCAGUCCCGUGGUCCCACUUGUAGCCAGGGAAAUUGCAGGAAAAACAUUCCUGCAUGUUGUGCACAUCAAAAUUUCAUGGGAAUCGGGAACUGAGUCUGUGUGGUGAACUUCCCUGACAG
rnacentral:lncRNA from 1 species